UGAAAAAUGAUCAGACCUAAUCAAACCUAAUUCAAAGGCAGACCUUAUUAAAUAUACACCAUAAUAAAGGAGAGUGUGAAAUCAGUGCACACUCUUACUGGAAUCAUAGUCUAAUUAUUUCUUUUUGCUAUUUAUAAAAGUGCUUAGCUCAGCUCUUGAAAUCAGUGAAUGGAGAUGUAGGAUCCUUAGUGUAUCCUUUUUCUGUAGUUGUGGAAACAUAUGUAUGUGCUCUGCUCCUUGAACGGCUGACCUCUAUGAAGUGAGAAUGUCUCAGAGGAAUACUUCCUUUCCACAUACAGAAGCAGUGACAGAACACCGAAAUGGCACUUGCGGAAACUGAGGCUUUGAAAAAUUAAGUCACUGGCCACACAAAGAAGUCACUGCAUCAAGGAUGGUGCUGGUAUAAUGGGUUUAAAGAAGAACUUGGAUAAGGAGAGGAAAGAAAAUACUGGAGAAAGAUAAAGAACAUAACAACCCUCCAUAUCUACAGCUACCAGAAAUAACCAGUGUUUAACUUUCAGUGUGUAUCCUUAUGGUCAUAUAAAUAUGUAUAUAUAUUUUGUUAAAGUCGGAAUUAAAAUUUUGUAAAUUGUAACAAAUGGAAGUGAGUUUUUAACUAAGCACAGUUACACAAAUAGAAGUCUGUUGUGGAUUUUAUUUCCCACAAAACUUUGUUUUUGUUAAAUAAUUCCCCAAAUGUUCACUUUUUCUGUCUAAGGCA